rnacentral:rRNA from 1 species
GGUUGAUCCCGCCGGAGGUCAUUGCUAUCGGGAUUCGAUUUAGCCAUGCUAGUCGCACGGGUUCAGACCCGUGGCAGAUAGCUCAGUAACACGUGGCCAAACUACCCUAUGGAGGACCAUAACCUCGGGAAACUGAGGCUAAUAGUCCGUACGACUCUCUCCCUGGAACUGGGUUGAGUCAGAAACGCUACGGCGCCAUAGGAUGUGGCUGCGGCCGAUUAGGUAGACGGUGGGGUAACGGCCCACCGUGCCAAUAAUCGGUAUAGGUUGUGAGAGCAAGAGCCUAGAGACGGAAUCUGAGACAAGAUUCCGGGCCCUACGGGGCGCAGCAGGCGCGAAAACUUUACACUGCACGACAGUGCGAUAAGGGAAUCCCGAGUGCGAGGGCAUAGAGCCCUCGCUUUUCUGAACCGUAGGGUGGUUCAGGAACAAGAACUGGGCAAGACCGGUGCCAGCCGCCGCGGUAACACCGGCAGUUCGAGUGAUGACCGAUAUUAUUGGGCCUAAAGCGUCCGUAGCUGGCUGUGCAAGUCUGUUGGGAAAUCUGCUCGCUCAACGAGCAGGCGUCCGGCAGAAACUGUGCAGCUUGGGACCGAGCGAUCCGAGGGGUACGUCCGGGGUAGGAGUGAAAUCCCGUAAUCCUGGACGGACCACCGAUGGCGAAAGCACCUCGGAAGAUCGGAUCCGACAGUGAGGGACGAAAGCUGGGGUCACGAACCGGAUUAGAUACCCGGGUAGUCCCAGCUGUAAACGAUGCCAGUUAGGUUUGGCGCGGGCUACGAGCUCGUGCUGUGCCGCAGUGAAGACGAUAAACUGGCCGCCUGGGAAGUACGUCCGCAAGGAUGAAACUUAAAGGAAUUGGCGGGGGAGCACUACAACCGGAGGAGCCUGCGGUUUAAUUGGACUCACGCCCGGACAUCUCACCAGCAUCGACAGUGAUCGUGACGGUCAG